AUUGAACGCUGGCGGCAUGCCUUACACAUGCAAGUCGAACGGUAACAGGUCUUCGGAUGCUGACGAGUGGCGAACGGGUGAGUAAUACAUCGGAACGUGCCUAGUAGUGGGGGAUAACUACUCGAAAGAGUGGCUAAUACCGCAUGAGAUCUACGGAUGAAAGCAGGGGAUCGCAAGACCUUGUGCUACUAGAGCGGCCGAUGGCAGAUUAGGUAGUUGGUGGGAUAAAAGCUUACCAAGCCGACGAUCUGUAGCUGGUCUGAGAGGACGAUCAGCCAAACGGGGAAUGAGAACCGGCCCAGACUCCUACGGGAGGCAGCAGUGGGGAAUUUUGGACAAUGGGCGCAAGCCUGAUCCAGCAAUGCCGCGUGCAGGAUGAAGGCCUUCGGGUUGUAAACUGCUUUUGUACGGAACGAAAAGCCCUGGGUUAAUACCCUGGGGUCAUGACGGUACCGUAAGAAUAAGCACCGGCUAACUACGUGCCAGCCGCCGCCGUAAUAC
rnacentral:rRNA from 1 species